AAGCUGCCAAUGAGCUGCCAGUUUGGAUGGCAGCUGUCAACACGGCAAGGGCCUGCAGGCGCAUCAGCCCUCCCCCCGUUCCUCUACUGCCAUUGGAGACAGGAUGCUUUGUAAAAGAUUGUUUCUUUUCUUCAGUGGGAGCUCAUGAAGGUGGCACUGUGCACAGAGGGACAGAGUGGCUGACAGUGAGCUGCCCAAGACAACCUGCUGGCUCUCAUGACCAUCUCCGAAAGCCUCUGGAUGGGCUAAUUGACAGGCGUGCCUGGACAUUUAUAAAUGGCUGCUCUUAUAUGCACCAUGAAGAUAU